rnacentral:tRNA from 1 species
GGAUAGUUCAGUUGGUUAGAACAUGGUACUGAUAAUGCCAAGGUUGCAGGUUCAUUCCCUGUAAGGGACA